GCAUUCUGUGGAUGAUAUUCUGGCUUCUGAAGACUUGUCAUUGCUACAGCAACACCGAGAUGCAUUGGCACUCUUCAAUCCAGAGGAUGGGCCAUCAACGCACAAAAGUGGAAGGCUUGGACUAGCUGCAAAGUUCCUAUGGAUCACUUGGCCUGAAACAGGUUCUCCCUAUGUUGCCCAAGCUGGUCCUGAACCCCUAGCCUCAAGUAAUCCUCCUGCUUCAACCUACCAAAGCAUUGGGAUUACAAGUUUGACCCACCAUGGUCAGUCCAGGGUAGGAAAUGGAAUCUUAACAACUAUCACACGAGCUUUGAGGGGAUCCUUCUCCAGAUGAGCCUUCAGUUGCGACCUCAGCCUUGGACAUCAUCUGCAUCUGGAUUCCUGACCCAGAGCAACUGAAUUUUAUGGAACCUUGUAUUCUGUUGAAUACCAGAAUUAUAUCAGCAAUCCCCAAGUCACCAAAUGGGCAUCAUCAUGACAGCAGAUGGAAUUCGCUGUUUCGCCCAGGCUGGAGUGAAGUGGCGCGAUGUGGGCUCACUGCAACCUCCGCCCCCAGGGUUCAAGGGAUUCUCCUGCCUCAGCCACCAUGAUUUAACACUGAGAAGUAGGCAGUCACAGAGAAAAAGUUUGGAAUAGUUCACCAGUGAAGUCAUCUCAACCAGCACAGGGCCUUGACUCCUAACAACAAUCACACGAACUUGGAAGAGGAUCCUUCCCCAGCUGAAACUUCACUUGAGACCUUCUCAUUGGCCAUCAUCGACAUCUGGAUUCAUGAUACAGAGAAACUUGAGUAAUGAUGACAAUAGCAGUCCAGCCUGCAUGGAUGCUGACAUGGAUGCUGUCUCCCAUUCUUACCACUGGAUGUCAAGAACUGCUAGAUGCGAUCCAGCCAGUCUGUACUCGACUCUCAGUUCCAUCUUCUCAACUCACAGUGUCUUCCAAAGUCCAUGCCACACCACAGCCUGGAAGAUCUCCCAAGGCUUUGAAUAACUCACCAGUGAAGUCAUCUUGACCUGGACAGAAAUUGAAUCCUCCCAAGAAUCCCAGGAGCUUGGAAGGGGAUCCUUCCCCAGAUGAGCCUUCCCUUGAAAUCUCUGCCAGGCAUCUGACCCAGAGAAACUGCCACACCACUUUACAGAGGAACACCAGGGAUGUUCCAGGAACCAUGCCCACAAAGCUUACUAAGCCAUGGGACUGCAUACUACACUCCCAAGGACAUCCACAAAGUCAAGACUCUUGCGUUUUCAGACUGUGAUCAUGGGCUACAUUCUCCAUACCAUGUUCAUAUCUACAGUGAAAAAACAAACUCCUGCAUCCUGGAGACCUACAAUGAGAGACACAGCUGACCUUGACCAUAUUUCUUACUUCUCAGAAGACUGUAGCAGUAAUUCAGAAUGUUUCAGAACAAAGUCACUAACACAACAUGCAUUUAAGAAGUGGGGAGUCAUGGGCUAAGCACGAUGGCUCUCGCCUGUAAUCCCAGCACUGUUGGUGGCU
rnacentral:lncRNA from 10 species